AGCUUUGCGCAGUGGCAGUAUUGUAGCCAAUGAGGUUUAUCCGAGGCGCGAUUAUUGCUAAUUGAAAAUUUUUAAAAAAUGUAAUCCUCAUCAUCAUUAAAGUAUAAAAGUUACUAUGUUAUAGGAAUUACAAAAAAGUAAUAACUU